GACGAACGCUGGCGGCGUGCUUAACACAUGCAAGUCGAACGGAAAGGCCUGCUUUCCCUUGUGGAUUGCGGGUGCUCGAGUGGCGAACGGGUGAGUAACACGUGAGUGAUCUGCCCCCAACUUGGGUAUAAGCCUGGGAAACUGGGUCUAAUUCCCGAUAGGACUGCAGGGUGGUGCCUGUGGUGGAAAACGAUUUUCUAGUGGUUGGGGAUGAGCUCGCGGCCUAUCAGCUUGUUGGUGGGGUAAUGGCCUACCAAGGCGGCGACGGGUAGCCGGCCUGGGAGGGGGGACGGCCGCAUUGGGACUGAGAUACGACCCAGACUCCUACGGGAAGCAGCAGUGGGGAAUAUUGCACAAUGAGCGGAAGCCUGAUGCAGCGACGCCGCGUGGGGGAUGACGGCCUUCGGGUUGUAAACUCCUUUCGACGGCGAGGAAGCCACCUGGUUGGAAGGGUGGUGACGGUAGUGGUAGAAGAAGCACCGGCUAACUACGUG
rnacentral:rRNA from 1 species